AAAUUACCCACUCCCGGCACGGGGAGGUAGUGACGAAAAAUAACAAUACGGGACUCUUUUGAGACCCCGUAAUUGGAAUGAGUACACUCUAAAUCCUUUAACGAGGAUCUAUUGGAGGGCAAGUCUGGUGCCAGCAGCCGCGGUAAUUCCAGCUCCAAUAGCGUAUAUUAAAGUUGUUGCGGUUAAAAAGCUCGUAGUUGGAUCUCAGUUCCAGACGGGCGGUCCGCCUAACGGUGGUUACUGCCUGGCCUGAACAGCCAGCCGGUUUCCCUAGAUGAUCUUCACCGGUUGUCUUGGGUGACCGGCACGUUUACUUUGAAAAAAUUAGAGUGCUCAAAGCAGGCGUGUAGCCUGAAUAAUGGUGCAUGGAAUAAUGGAAUAGGACUUCGUUUCUAUUUUGUUGGUUUUCGGAACACGAGGUAAUGAUUAAGAGGGACAGACGGGGGCAUUCGUAUUGCGACGCUAGAGGUGAAAUUCUUGGACCGUCGCAAGACG
rnacentral:rRNA from 1 species